GGUGACAGGUGCUGCAUGGCUGUCGUCAGCUCGGUGUCGUGAGAUGUUGGGUUAAGUCCCGCAACGAGCGCAACCCUUGUCUUUAAUUGCCAUCAUUUAGUUGGGCACUUUAAAGAGACUGCCGGUGUUAAGCCGGAGGAAGGUGGGGAUGACGUCAAGUCCUCAUGGCCUUUAUGCCCAGGGCUACACACGUGCUACAAUGGGCGGUACAAAGAGAAGCAACCUCGCGAGGGUGAGCAAAUCUACAAAAAGCCGUUCUCAGUUCGGAUUGAAGUCUGCAACUCGACUUCAUGAAGUCGGAAUCGCUAGUAAUCGCGGAUCAGCAUGCCGCGGUGAAUACGUUCCCGGGCCUU
rnacentral:rRNA from 1 species